AACUUCUGAAAUGUGACCUCGGAUCAGGUAGGA
rnacentral:rRNA from 1 species